rnacentral:rRNA from 1 species
CGGGGUGAGUAAUGUCUGGGAAACUGCCUGAUGGAGGGGGAUAACUGCUGGAAACGGUAGCUAAUACCGCAUAACGUCGCAAGACCAAAGAGGGGGACCUUCGGGCCUCUUGCCAUCGGAUGUGCCCAGAUGGGAUUAGCUAGUAGGUGGGGUAACGGCUCACCUAGGCGACGAUCCCCAGCUGGUCUGAGAGGAUGGCCAGCCACACUGGAACUGAGACACGGUCCAG